GUGACUUAUUUAAGCAUUUUCCCCCUGUCCUGUGCAGAGGAUUGUUCUGGUGGUGAAUGAAAGGAUCCACACAUAAAAACCAUUCAUUUGUUCAAAAAAAAAGCAGGAGAAAGGCACAAGACUAUUACAUUAAUUAAGCAGUGUCUGCUCAGAGCUCGGCACCCUUGGGGCCCUUUGCUCUGUUCAGUACAAGCCUGGCAAAAAGGCUUGAGUAGAGAUAGAAAAACCCUCCAACAGUGCAUUUUGACAGUGCUCAAAAAUGCAUUUCUGAUGUACCUGUGAGGCAAGACUCGUAUGGGGUGGACACACAGGCGGGCAGAGGUUGGGGCUCACUGAUGGGGUUCAGGUCCCAAAUGUUUUGCCCGUUUUCAGACACACACACCCCAUACCAGCCUCUCCCAGUGGCCUGCAGGGUGCUCUGUGCCCUGUUCCUAUCAGGAUCUGACCCUGCGGGGGGGCAUCUGACCUCGAGCAUUCUCCUUCUGCCGUCCCCCGGAGUCCCCCCUUCGUUCAGCACAGUAACUCCCGCUGUUACCUGGCCAGGGCAAGCUCCAGCCCCCGGAGAGCACAGAGGCUGCACCAGCCGGGACUCUCCCGACACACCAGCCCCGAGUCCCGCUCCGUCAAUACUCGCAUUAUUUCUUUUGCAGGAGCACAUUUAUCCUCUGUGCCCGAAGAGCAGGGGACACGCUGCCCGCCCGGGCGAGGGGCUGGCAAAGAGAGGCAAAAAGCCCCAGCUCCGGGCGGCCGGAGGGGGAUGCCCGGGGGAGCCCGUCCCGCCACGGGAGACGCGGGGGAUGCACCGAUGGAAUUUGGGGAGCGCCCGGAGCGCUCGGUCCCCGCUGCCGCAGCGGCCACGCACCGAGCCCGGACCCCCCGCCCCGGGGGCGACCCCAGACGCUGAAUUCCGGCGAUGUUAUCGCCGGGCAGCGCCGCGGCCGGCGGGGCCGCCGCUCCAUCCCCAGCCCAGGGUUUCCAGUGAAGCCGCAGCAGCGUGGGGGGGGUGCCGAACCCCCGCUUCGGGCGGAUCCGGCUGCUCUGCCAGCGGCUCUUCCCGGGGACGGGGCGGCCCCCCCGGCAGUGCCCGCGGCAGCGCCCGAGCGCGGCGGGGCUGGAGCUGGGAGUGCGGGGGUCCCACCGGGGGACACGGACCCCCCGGGCCGGGGGCAGCGAUCAGCACGGUCCGCCCGUGAGCGGUGCCCGGGGGGCAGCGAGGGGGCCGCGUUCGUGUCCCCGCUCCCUCAGGGUCCCCUUACCUGGCUCCGGGCUCGGCUCCCCCGCCGGCGUUGGCCGCUCCCGCCGAGGCACGGACAGACGGCAGCCACGGGGAAUUAGGAGCUCCCCAAAGCCCUGCCGCCCUUCCCGAGGGGAGUCAGUGCCGGGGAUGCCUCCCCCCGGCCCCGGGACCCCCCCGGUCCUCCCCCCGUAUCGAUUCCAGCCCGGCGCUGGCAGCGUUUAGGUCGGGAUUGGGGGAUAAUGGGAAUAUCAUCUGGAGACAAUUACCUUUGGAGCGGGCUCGCUUCUCCUCCCAGACACUGUUAUUUGAGCAAUAGGAUCAUUUGAUUUCAUAUCGCACUAAAUAACCCCCGGCCGCCGCAAAUUGCCGCCUUCUCAACAGCCACCCUUCGGAAUAAAUUGCACAGCGACUCCGUGGGCUCUGGCUUCUUCUUUCUUUCCUUUUUUUUCCCCCCUUUAUUUCCCCCCCUCCUUUUUCUCCUUUGAAGAACAGUAUUUCGGGAUAAGCCAGGACGGAGGCCCGAUGCUGUCGGAUAAGCUGCGCCCAGCAAAGCUCCAGCUCCCUUAAUAAGCCAAGCCUGACCCGCGGGGGUUUUCUUCAUGUUUUUCUCCCCCUCCCUCGGCCUUUCCUUUUUUUUUUUUUUUCCCAUCCUCAUUUUUUCCCCCCUCUAAAGUAGCUCUUCCCCCGCCCGGGUCCCGCCGAUGCCAGGGCGCGAUGUGCCUUUAAGGCUCUGUCAGCGCUCACCCGCAAAUCUGGUCAUCGCCGGCCUCAUUAGAUCCGUAUUAAUGUCAGCCACGGAUUGCUAAUUAGAUUUGUGGGAUAAAUGAAAUUACCCGAGUGGGCUGCGUGGGAGGGGGAGUGCAGUCUCCCAGCGCUUCCCGGGAUUUACAGGUCGGGGAAAGAAAAAAAAAAAAGAAAAAGAAAAAGGAAAAAAAAUUGUUUUCUUUUCCCUCCUUUCUUUUCCUUCCCUUCUUUCCCCUCCUGCCCUCCCCCCGGGCCCCAUCCCCAUUCUCUGACAGUCACUAACCAAGGAAUUCCCCAUCCCAUCCCCGCCAGACUGCUCUGUGGUGGUGGAACUUGGGGUUUUGCUCCCCUUUUCCCAUGCUAAGGGAGCCCACGGGGCUGUGCCAGGUGUGCUUGCCGAGGGAUCCCACUUGUGUUGGAUCCAUGGAUAUCGGGGAGCGGCUCGGGGGGAACAGCGCUGUGCUGCAGGGGUCGAGGGAGAGCCCCAUGGCAUUAUUCAUCCUAUUUAUUUACCCUUAUUAGAAACCCCGAUGAAAGAGCAGGGCCCGGAGUGCUCCUUUAAGCGCCGGCUGAGCAGCGCGCACACAACCCCAAUUAAACGCUGCCCGCACGAGGCCUUUCUCCCUAUGAGAAAACCAGCUCUGUUUAAUGAGGACCAAUUAAAUCCUGCUUCAUUUUACCUGGCACCUCACAAUAGAUGUGACAACAAAUUCCCUUUCUUCUUCCCUGGUAAUUACUGGCAGAACCAGCCCAGCUCCCAGCAGCAGGAAGCCCUUCCCAAUAACCCACCCGAACCCCCAGCUGGACCCUUCCUGCCCCCAAUCCCACCAAAACCCACUCGGGAUCAACCUGGGCCUCCAGUCCUGUCCCACUGCAGCCCAACACGGUGCUGGCAGAGCUGGGCCCCUCCAGCCCCUCCUAGGGAAGUGUGUGGAGCUAUUCCAGCCCAGCUCUGGCCUCCAUUCCCAGGCCUUCCCUGAGCCGCCCCAGUCUUAAAGACUGCACCCUGACUCCCCGGGGAACAUCGCUGCAACCAGGAGAUUCAAUUAAAUAACCCCAGCCCUUUGCUUCUCCCACAAAUAAAUGGCUUUUUUUCCUGCCCCAAAUAUUUCCUUUCCCAAGUUCCCUUUCAAAAGGGAGAAAGAAAAAAAGAAACAAAACCCCAAACUGGAGAACAACGGGAAAAAAAGGAGAGGGGGGAAAAGAAAAGAAAGAAACUGUUCUCCUUUCUUUUCCCUGUGUGCAGGGUAAUUGAUAGGCUCUAUCAGAGGUCAGGAUUUGCAUAAGAAUUAAGAGCAGUAAAUUAAUUUAAUAUUCCAUGCACAUCUCCAAUUAUUCCUGCAGACCUUUGUCUCCACGGCUGGCAGAGAGAAGGUUCAGCUGCUCUUCAACCAAACAACAUCUGUGCAGUUAAUAAUUUGAUAAACAGCUCAUACAAAUAGUUUCUGAAUUAUCUGCCAACCCAAUGACUAUUCAGUUUGGAAACACUCGGCGAGGGCUGUGCCGGCGGCCAGGGCUUUGGAGCCUGUCCUGGAUUCAGCUGCACGGCACACACUCACCCUCCUUAUCCCUGAAAUAUCAGCAGCUCCCUGCAACAAACCCCCAGCAGUGGCAAUAUGGAAAAUAACUAAUUACCAGUAAUUAAUAAAGCCCCCCCCGGGUAGGAGGGGCCGCAGCCCCCCUUGGGAGAGGCCGGUGUGUGCUGUGGGGCCGGGCUGUGCCCCCGCUCCAGGGAUCCCGGGGAUCCCGGGGGGGUUUGUGGCCAGUGCCAGUGCCCUGCGAGCGGGGAGGAAUCACCCCUGCUGGGGGCAGGAUUUACAGUCCCCCAGCUGCCUCAUUCCCUCCACGACCACCUGGAAAGGGGACGGGUUCUCCUGGAAGCCCUGGCUCUCCCCCUGCCCCAGGACUAAUGGGAGCCAGCGCACUGCAAACGCGGAAUCAUGGAAUUGUCAAGGUUGGAAAAUCCCUCUAAGAUCACCGAGUCCAACAGUUCCCCCCAGCACUGCCAAGGUUACCACUAACCCAUGUCCCCAGGUACCACAUCCACAGAGCUGUUAAAUCCCUCCAGGGAUGGGGAUCCACCACUGCCCUGGGCAGCCUGUGCCAGGGCUGGACAGCCCUUUCUGUGAAGAAAUUUUCCCAAAUAUCCAAACUAAACUUCCCCUGGCACAAUUUGAGUCCAUUUUCUCUUGUCCUGUCAUGUGUUACCUGGGAGAAGGGACCGGCCCCACCUGGCUACACCCUCCUCUCAGGUAGCUGCACAGAGCCAUAAGGUCUCUCCUCAGCCCUCUGAGUCAGAAAUUUCUCUUUCACACACUCCAGGAACCUCAUGGACUGUCUCCUCUCUGCUGUUCCCUAUUUCCAUCUGACACCUGGUAAGUUGAAGUCCCCCAUAACAAGAGCUGGUGACUGAGACUUCUCUCAGCUGCUUACAGAGUAUUUGGCUGUCUCUCCACCCUGGCUGAGGGUCCAGAGCAGCCUCCCACCAGGCCACCUGCCCCAGUUCUCAUCCAGAAACACUCAACCCCGUCGGCACUAUCACUAAGCUCCAAACAACCCAAACCCUCACGAACACAGGGGGCUGCCCAGCACCUCUCCUGCCUUACCCAUCUCUUCUGGCUUUUACAUUGGUGGGACACAGCCAGGGAAUGUGGUUUCCAAACCUCUCCUCGGAGCGACGUGUAAUUCCAUUUGCCAGACAAGUGACUGACCUUGUCCUUUGUUCCUGCCCUGCCCUGCCCAAUUACUCUGUUGGAGUGCAACGAGAAGGAAAAUUAAAUUUGCACACUGGGUGCCGUGAAUAAAUGCAGUGACCACCUAAUUUUUCUGCUAAGGAGCCUCCUGGUGAGGCCACCAAGGUGGGGGGGCUGUGGCCCCUCCUGGUGCCACUUGCCCUGGGCAGUGGGGCAGGACAGCAGGGCAGGAUCGUGGCUCCCACAGCACCCCAGGCCUGACCUUAAAUUACAGUUGCCAAGAGUUCCCCUGGAGAUGCCAUGGCUCCUCACUCCCUUCAGGCAUUAAGCAUCACUCUAAAAUUAAUAGAAAGUUGAUUUUAAAAAGAUUAUGAAGUUCUCCAGGCUAAAGGAAAGGUUAAUGCUCCUCUCCAUAAUCACGCAACUUUCAUGUUUGCUGUCAUAAAGAGCUGAUUUUUCUCUCCCAUUUAAAGAGAGAAUUUACACCAUGAGCAGGAAUCCAGAAAUAGGGCCGUAAACAGAAGUGAAGGGAUCAGGUGCCAAAUUUGGACAGAUGUCUGGGGCUUGAUAAACCACUGCAGCCUUAUCACAGCAUAAAUAAUGCCAGGCUCAGCACGGCGCUGUGGGACAGGCCAAGACCUGGUACCUCUGCUGGGGGAGGGAGAUCCCAGCCCCCAGGGGGAGAUCCCAGUCAGAAUUGGGAGCUCACAGACUCAGCUGCUGCUGUGCCAGCCUGUGCUGGGGCACACUGUUACCUGGCUGCAUCACUGGUGCCAGGGUAAGGCCCACAGUCACCAUGGUGAAUCAGCCCCCUGAAUAUUCAACAUCAGCAGCUCCAGGGCUGCCCAGACCCAUGGAUUUGCCAGGAAAUGGAGGCUUUUUUUCCUCCUUUCCAAAACUGAGAUCAAUGCACUGUGCUGUCUCUGGAGCCUGUGGCUGUUCAGACUGAGACCGUGGUUUGCCCCAGCUCUAAUUACACACAAACCCGGGUUUUAUUUUGGAAGGUAAAUGUGCUGCUUUAAGGAAUGCAAAUCCCCCUUUUCCAGCCCUGGUGCCUGGAUGCUCCAUGUUGUAAGGAGGGAAUCAGAAAGCACCCAGCACAGGGCAUCCCCUGCUCUUCACACGUUCCUGUGGCUCGGGGCUGACGGAGCCUGGCCUGGCACGGCGAGUUUGGAGAUCAGGGAGAUGCAACGCUGGCUUUGCAGUGCAGGACACUGGAGAUCUUCAGUGCUGAUGGCUCACCCUGGAAACCCUUAAGCCCCUUUGGUCCCUGGAUUGAACCCCAGCACGAGGAUUUCAGCACUGACACUUGCCAGGCGACGUUGGGUAGUUUAAUUAAUGUUUGCAGAGCUCUGGGCACAGCUCUACGUGCGCCUGCAUUCGCUGGGCCUCGAACCCCACGGAAACCCUGGCACUGCCACCUCAGCCACACCCGGGGUUCCCUUUGUCAUCUCAGGGCGAUGUACCCUGAGGCAGGAAGAGGCAAAUCCCACCUGUGCCAACGGGUGCCUGGAAGGUGCGUUCCCAGCACCACUUUUUGGCACCGAGAUGCCUCUUUACAGACUCGCCCGUCGAGUUGCCGUGCCACUCUCUGGUUUAUGGAGCCCCAGAGUGUCUGUAAUGAGAGAUUAAAAUAGCAGUCGUGCCGUGUGA